UACGUAGGGGGCAAGCGUUGUCCGGAAUCAUUGGGCGUAAAGCGCGUGUAGGCGGUUCGGUAAGUCUGCUGUGAAAGUCCAGGGCUCAACCCUGGGAUGCCGGUGGAUACUGUCGGACUAGAGUACGGAAGAGGCGAGUGGAAUUCCCGGUGUAGCGGUGAAAUGCGCAGAUAUCGGGAGGAACACCUAUUGCGAAGGCAGCUCGCUGGGACGUUACUGACGCUGAGACGCGAAAGCGUGGGGAGCAAACAGG
rnacentral:rRNA from 1 species